CCAAAGGCUCUUUUCAGAGCCACCUACUGUCUCAAAAAAAGAGUU
rfam:Chelonia mydas contig215269, whole genome shotgun sequence.